UACGGGGGGGGCAAGCGUUGUUCGGAAUUACUGGGCGUAAAGGGCUUGUAGGCGGCCAACUAAGUCAUACGUGAAAUCCCUCGGCUUAACCGGGGAACUGCGUCUGAUACUGGAUGGCUUGAGUUUGGGAGAGGGACGCGGAAUUCCAGGUGUAGCGGUGAAAUGCGUAGAUAUCAGGAGGAACACCUGCGGUGUAGACGGCUUUCUGGACCAUUACUGACACUGAGACACGAAAGCGUGGGUAGCAAACAGG
rnacentral:rRNA from 1 species